rnacentral:rRNA from 1 species
ACCGAGAUGAAUACCCGCAGGGCCAAUACCCUUGCGGACUGACAGUAUCGAGGGAACGAAGCCCCCGGCUAACUCCGUGCCAGCAGCCGCGGUAAUACGGGGGGGGCAAGCGUUGUUCGGAAUUACUGGGCGUAAAGGGUUCGUAGGUGGACAACUAAGUCAUGCGUGAAAUCCCUCAGCUUAACUGGGGAACUGCGUCUGAUACUGGUUGACUUGAGUGCAGGAGAGGAACGCGGAAUUCCAGGUGUAGCGGUGAAAUGCGUAGAUAUCUGGAGGAACACCGGUGGCGAAGGCGGCGUUCUGGACUGUAACUGACACUGAGGAACGAAAGUCCAGGGGAGCAAACGGGAUUAGAUACCCCGGUAGUCCUGGCCCUAAACGAUGAAUGCUUGGUGUGGCGGGUAUCGAUCCCUGCCGUGCCGAAGUUAACGCGAUAAGCAUUCCGCCUGGGGAGUACGGUCGCAAGGCUG